AUUUGGCACUGUUAGAGGAUGUGGCAAAUCGAAGACUUCGGAGGGAGCGAAUCUUCCGAGACCAACAGGAUCCACUGGCCAAUGAUGAUGAGUGGCUUAUGAGCCGGUUCCGACUUCCACGAGCUGUUCUUUUGGAUCUCUGUGCUGUAUUGAGCCCAGCUUUACAGCGAAACAGAAACCAUGCCGUGCCAGUCCCACUUCAAGUCCUCACAACACUGGGAUUUAUGGCAACAGGGACUUUUGAGAGGGAAUUGGCUGACAGAUCAGGGAUAUCUCAGCCAACCCUUAGUCGUGUCAUGCCAGACGUGUUGGGAGGUGUAAUUGGUUUGGUGCAUCUGUACAUCAACUUUCCUUACACGAGCGCAGAGGAGAGGAACUACAACAUGCGCCACAGCCAGGCACGCGCUGUUGUGGAGCGCACCAUCGGGCUUUUUAAAGGCAGAUGGCGUUGCCUUGAUGCUACAGGAGGAAAACUGCUCUACAAGCCCGAAAAGGUGUGCCAUAUAGUGAUGGCGUGUGCUGUGCUACAUAAUGUGGCACAGCUAAGGAAUGUGGCUAUACCCCCUGAUGCUGAUGGUCGCGCUGACCCCGAGCCCAACCCCUAUCCCCAGGCAUUUGAGCCAAUCGCUGCUGCCGUGCGCCAGCGUGUGGCUGUGAUGCGUCGCUUGUAAAAACACAAAAGGAUUGCAUUGGUGAGGACACGGCCGCUGCUGGAGGGCUCAGUUGCACGAGGUGCAGUGGAGACGUUGGGCGCACACAGCUCCUCCGCUGCACUGCCACCGACCCCGCUGGAACACGCAGCUGCACUGCCACCGACCCCCCCCCGCUGGAACACGCAGCUGCAGCGCCACCGACCCCGCUGGAACACGCAGCGACUAAAAGAAAGAA